UACCAGCACCCCGAGUGGUCGGGACGAUUAUUGGGCCUAAAGCAUCCGUAGCCGGUCAUGCAAGUCCUCCGUUAAAUCCACCUGCUUAACAGAUGGGCUGCGGAGGAUACUACAAGGCUAGGAGGCGGAAGAGGCAAGCGGCACUCAGUGGGUAGGGGUAAAAUCCUCUGAUCCAUUGAAGACCACCAGUGGCGAAGGCGGCUUGCCAAUACGCGCUCGACGGUGAGGGAUGAAAGCUGGGGGGAGCAAACCGGG
rnacentral:rRNA from 1 species